GAAGAAGAGCCUCAAGACCGAGAGAAAGGACUCUGGUGGUUCCAGUUGAAGGUCUGGUCCAUGGCAGUCGUAUCCAUCUUGCUCCUCAGUGUCUGUUUCACUGUGAGUUCUGUGGAUUGGAGCUGCUGCCCAACCCCUUGGACUUCAUUUCAGUCUAGUUGCUACUUUAUUUCUACUGGGAUGCAAUCUUGGACUAAGAGUCAAAAGAACUGUUCUGUGAUGGGGGCUGAUCUGGUGGUGAUCAACACCAGGGAAGAACAGGAUUUCAUCAUUCAGAAUCUGAAAAGAAAUUCUUCUUAUUUUCUGGGGCUGUCAGAUCCAGGGGGUCGGCGACAUUGGCAAUGGGUUGACCAGACACCAUACAAUGAAAAUGUCACAUUCUGGCACUCAGGUGAACCCAAUAACCUUGAUGAG
rnacentral:lncRNA from 1 species